GGGGUUUUCGUUUAAAAAUCAAAAGUUGAUACUCAUUUAGGGUGGAGCCAGAAAUUAAAAAUAUCGUCCCACUAAAAAAUUAAAGAUUUUAAUAUUCAAACUAUUUUCAAAUAAACUAAUAAUUUAUAAUGUAAACUAAUUUUUACAGUUCUAUGUGUUUACCAAUGUGAUAUAAAUUGCAAAAAUUUGAAGAAAAAAAUGGCAUGUGAGGGGGCGAUUGUUACAUUUGCCCAUUCCUUGAGGACGCCCCUGUCGUUAGUAAGGAUUAACCGUUACUCACAGGUAUACAUUGAAUUACCUAAAACAGCGGUUGCACACGUCCCCAUUAAUCAGUAAUUCUUUAACCAUCAAAAUUAAAAUGGUUGUAUUUAAAAUCUGUGACUUGUUUUACAUUCUGAGUGGAACGAUGAAUGUAUUGGUCUUACUAAGAUGUUUCAUUUUUUUGACCAAUUUUUUUACACUAGAAAUUUUGCUUUAAUUAACUAUGAUAGCACUUUUUCUGAAAAGCGAAAUACUUUAGGGAGGCCAUGUCUUGAUUUUUCCAGGAGUUUUCCCAAUAAAUGAAAAAUUUGGGGAAAAAAUGGGAAAACUGGAGAACGGAAAAAU